UGGGCAGGCAGCUGAGACAGAGUGAAAUCACUCCCAAUAUGAUCUUUGCAACCCAAUGCCUGCUGAUAAUGGGAGCAUAAACACAGGAGGCACCAGAGAGGAGUGGCAUCUGGAUGCUAAGAUGUGAUCUGGAAGCAGAUAGCCAGAAUAAACGUGAGCGCCAUCAGGGAAGCUGAUUCCAUCCUGUCACAUCACGUGGAGGCCUCAUUCAGUGUACGACUGUGUGACACUGAUGGGACUGAAAGUUGUGGAACCGUAAUUUGUGACAUCAGGAUUUUUUUGUGUGGUAAGCAGUCGUGUAUGAUUCCGGAUGAUUAAGGCAAAUAGGAGACCCCUUCUGAGAGUUUAACAAAGCUGUCCACAGCCUCCACCAUGGACAGAAAGCUGGACCCUUCCCGAGAUGACCUGCCUCUCAUGGCCAACACCAGCCACAUACUUGUGAAGCACUAUGCACUGGAUUUAGAUGUGGAUUUCGAAAGUCAAAUCAUGGAGGGCACCAUAGUGCUUUUCUUUGAGUCUGAAAACAGAUUCGGGAAAAGGAGUAGUUGCACUGAGGAGACCUGCCAAUCAGAGGCAAUUGAAGCCCGCACAGUUAGAACGCCGGAACCCUGCCACAUUCCUGGGACAAGUACAAGGACGUUCUCAUCUAAACCGGGAUACAGUGAUUUUGUAAUCUGUGGUAAAGGUGAAAAAGAUACUUCUGGUAAAGAUGGUAACCAUGACAACUGGGAACAGGCUUCUGGGAUUUCUAGCUCAAAGUACUGCUGUGACACAGGGAAUCAUGGGAGUGAGGAUUUUGUGCUCGUGUUGGACUGCUGUGAUUUAUCUGUGUUAAAGGUUGAGGAGGUAGAUGUUGCUGCUGUGCCAGGUAUUGAAAAAUUUACAAGGUCUCCCAAACUCACGGUUGUUUCUGAGCUCAGGAAUCAGAUUGUACGUGAACUUGUGACUCUGCCUGCAGAUCGUUGGAGGGAGCAGUUAGACUAUUUUGCUUGCUGCAGCCAGGCUCCUGGCUGUGGGGAACUCCUGUUUGACACUGACACUUGGAGCUUACAGAUCAGGAAGAGAGGGGCUCAGACAGCUACUGACUUUCCUCACGCCAUAAGGAUACGGUACAGAACCAAUCCCCAGGGGCGAUCAGUUACGUGGACCUCAGACCAGAGUGGCAGGCCGUGUGUUUAUACGAUGGGAUCUCCCAUCAACAACAGGGCCCUUUUUCCAUGCCAGGAGCCACCCGUUGCCAUGUCAACAUGGCAGGCUACAGUCCGAGCAGCUGCAUCUUUUGUUGUUUUAAUGAGUGGGGAACAUUCUGCCAAGCCGACACAGCUUCAGGAAGGGCGCUCAAGCUGGCAUUACUACGUAACCAUGCCAAUGCCAGCCUCUACCUUCACAAUUGCAGUGGGAUCCUGGAUAGAAAUGAAGCCAGAGACCUGCUCAUCGAAUGAUCUGGCAGCAGAGAGAAGAUCCGUCUCACCUUCUGAUGCUGACUCCGGGUGUGUUGGGGUUUGUUGCCAUAUGGACUACCCCUGCCGCUUCCAGAAUGCUUCUGCCGCCAUCCAGGAGAUCAUUCCCCAUCGGGUCUUUGCUCCAGUGUGCCUCCAAGGUGCCUGCCAAGAGACCCUUCUGCCGCUGGUCCCUCCUUGCCUCUCAGCAGCACACUCUGUCCUGGGAACACACCCGUUCUCCAGGCUGGAUAUUCUCAUCAUCCCUGCCAACUUUCCAAGCCUGGGGAUGGCCAGCCCACACAUCAUCUUCCUCUCUCAGAGCACCUUGAUUGGAAGGAGCCAUCUCUGUGGGACCCGUCUCUGCCAUGAAAUUGCUCAUGCCUGGUUUGGCCUAGCCAUUGGGGCCCGCGACUGGACAGAAGAGUGGCUGAGUGAAGGAUUUGCCACUCACUUGGAAGAUGUAUUCUGGGCCAAAGCACAGCAGCUGGCCCCCCACGAGGCCCAAGAGCAGCAGGAGCUGCGGGCUUGCCUGCGCUGGCGUCGCCUCCAGGACGAGGUGCGGAGCUCCCCGCAGGAGAUGCAGGUGUUGAGACCCAAUAAGGAGAAAACUGGCUACGUGAGUGACUCAGGAUCAUCUGUCGUCAAACAUGGGCUCAAUCCAGAGAAGGUCUUCAUGCAGGUUCACUACUUAAAGGGCUAUUUCCUUCUCCGAUUCCUUGCCAGAAGACUUGGAGAUGACACCUACUUUUCAUUUUUAAGAAAAUUUGUGCACACAUUUCAUGGGCAAUUGAUUCUUUCCCAGGAUUUCCUUCAAAUGCUGUUGGAGAACAUCCCAGAAGAAAAAAGGCUUGAGUUGUCUGUUGAAAGCAUCUUCCAAGACUGGCUUGAGAGUUCCGGAAUUCCACAGCCGCUGCAGACUGAGCGCCAGGCCGGGGCGGAGUGCGGGCUCGCGCGGCAAGUGGGCGUAGAGGUCGAGAAAUGGAAUCGAGUAAGUCGGAGACCCCGAAAACGGAAACGAAGGGGGACGGAGGAAGUGUUUGAAAAGCUUCUUCCAGACCAGCUGGUCUUGCUUCUGGAGCAUCUCUUGGAGCAGAAGACCCUGAACCCCAGAACUCUGCAAAGGCUUGAAAGGACAUACCACCUCCCCCAGCAGGACGCAGAGGUUCGCCAUCGGUGGUGUGAACUCAUUGUUAAGCACAAAUACACAAAAGCGUACAAAAAUGUGGAGAGAUUCCUUCAAGAAGACCAGGCCAUGGGCAUUUACCUGUACGGGGAGCUGAUGCUGAGCGAGGACAGCAGGCAGCAGCGGCUCGCCCGGCGCUGCUUUGAGCUGACCAAGGGGCAGAUGGACGCGUGCUCUGCUCAGGUGGUGGCCGAGAUGUUGUUUUAACAAGCCUAGGUUUUUGUCUCCUGCAGUCCCCCGCGGACAUCGCAGAGCCGCUCCGGCCGAGGCACUGCUUCUCCGGGCUGUCGAUUGGACCCGCCCUCCGGUGCCUACUGAGCUGAUAUCAGUUCUCAUUUUACACACUGGCUCAGUUCAGCAGGAACAGGAGUCGAGCCCUCAAGCAAAAAGCCUUCCUGUUUGAAAGAUCACAGCGAGACUCUUUCUCAUAAUCUCCCCGUAGCCCUGGUGGGACCAGAAUCGCAUUGACCCUGGGCAUCAAAGGAAGGAUACAGACUGCUAAAGCCAUCAGCCGACAGCAGCGCCCACGCCUCGGUGCUUCUCCUGCAGAGGCUGCUCUCAGCAGAGCACAUGUGACAGGCGCCGCCUCGUAAACGAGCUCCAAGGCCGGGGGCCUUGGUCCCUCACCCUCAAAUGCCACCUCAGCACACUGAACCAGAAUUCGGUCUCUUCUGUGGGUUUAAGGCAGUUCUUUCCCACAGAUAACUAAAGGUAAUCUGAGACAUGUCAAAAAACCCGCUGGACAUUUGGCGUCAGUCCCCUCAGCAUAUGGCUGCAUUGGAUAUUUCUGUAAUUCCAGAAAGUCACCAAGUUUCUAUAUACUGGACCCAGUGAACACCAUUUGCUGCUCUCCCCUGGGUCAUUUCAGAAAGAUUCUACACAAUUAUUUUGAGUGAUGCGUCCAUUAUUUAGAUUUUCCCCAAAAUGUUGGUACCUUUUGGUAAAAGCACAGGAUAUGAAUCUAAGCUGUAUUAGUAAUAAAAUGUAAUGGAUUAGUGUA